GCCCUGGGGGCUCGGAUCGCGUGGGCCCUCUGUUGGCGAGGCCACAGUGACGAUGUCAUUUCUUUUUCAUGCUCCCUUUGUGGGCAGCUUCUGCCCGGACAGAAGCCUGUGUGCAGCCGACCGCCCUGUGUUCAUUUGGGCAGCGGCCUAGCUGGGGACACCUAUUUGGAGCUGAGGUUUCUCCCGGGGAAGCAGAGGAACUUUGUUGGAAAAGAACAGAUUGCCCCCUGCAGCGGCAAACGUACCAGUGGCAACGUGAGAAGUCAGCGGGUCUUCAACAUGGCCCUGGAGGCCGCGGACUCCAUGGAACCCUCCGUGGACUCCGUGGAACCCUCCAGGGCGGGACACAGUCAGAGCCCUUCACCCGCACACCGCGGCCCGUGGGGAGGCCUGUUUAAAUGCAAGGCUGUGAAUAAAAGCAAUUUCCUGAAAA